UGCCGGAAGUCGGGCACGGCAGCCGGUGCAAAGGUGGGCGCCAUGCGGAUACUCCUGCUGGCGAGCCUGCGAGCCCAAACCGGGAACGGCACCACCGCGAGGAGGAUCCAGGUCCAUCUGGAAGCUGCUGGUCACAGGUGUACUCUCAAAGAUACUUUUGACUGCAAGUCUCCACUGAUGGUUUCGGAGCUCAUCUCCUCAGAGAACUUUGAGGCUGCUUUGGGUAUCCAUCUUUAUAAAGCAGGAAGACUUCUGCAAGGUAGCAGGAUUCCUUUUGGAAUCAUCUUCGGUGGGACGGAUAUCAAUGAAGACGCCAAGUCCGAUGAGAAGCUUCAGGUGAUGGGGCUGGUGCUGGAUGAGGCCAGGUUUGCUGUGUCUUUCACCGAGGCGAUGAAGGAAACCGCUGUAGCGUACUGGCCUCACGCCAGGAAUAAAAUAUACGUCCAGGCUCAAGGAAUCCAGACUGCCCCCGAUGCCUCUUUUAACUGGAAGGAAUUUCUUCAGAGUGCAGGGAUUUCCCAGGACAGCGACAGUCUCUGUGUCUUCCUCUUAAUUUGUGGACUGAGAAGAGUCAAGGAUCCUCUCUAUGUAGUGGAUGCUUUUGCAGAAUGGCACAGAGAGGAUUCCAGAGUGCACCUGAUUAUCAUUGGACCGGCAGUCGAUCCAGUAUUUGCAGAGGAAGUCAAAGAGAAAGUAAAGCGGGCGGAUGGGGUGCACUUGCUCCGUGAGAUUCCCCAGAAAGAUCUCCACGCGGUGGUGAAAAAAAGCUUCGCUGUUGUGAACAGUUCCAUUUCAGAGGGGAUGUCAGCUGCAAUCUUGGAGGCCAUGGAUUUAAGCAUCCCAGUGUUGGCGAGGAACAUCCCAGGAAAUGCGGCAAUAAUUGCCCACCAAGAAACGGGAUUGUUGUAUUCGACCCCCCAGGAAUUUGUUCGGCUCUCCCGAACCCUGACCGAGGAUCCAUUUUUGCACAGAAGACUUGUGAUGCGGGCAAAGGAGUAUGUCACGAAGCACCAUCUGUGGGACCACGAAAGGACCACCUAUCAAAACCUCAUGCUGAAGCUUCACUGACUCUCUUUGGCUCGAAGAGGGCCCACAAUUUGCAAACCCAACAGGUUUUGAUUAUGUGUGUAUACUUCAGCCCAAAUCUUCUUCCAUGCAAGUCUAGCAACAACUUGAACCUUGCUUGAUAGAGGCCACCUCUUUUGUUAGUCUGAUUCAAUCAAAUUUCAUCAGCCACCAGAACCACACAUGCAAAGUAAGUUGGCCUGGUAUGACUCCAAAAGCUAAUCGUGAAAAGCAACUUGACUAUUUUUCUUUCAUAUGCAUAUGAAUAUGUAUAUAUGAAUACAUAUGCAUAUAUAUAUAUAUAUGAAUGUAUACAUGUAUAUACAUAUACAUGUGCAUAUAUAUGAAUACAUAUAUACAUGUGUGUGUGAGAUAUAUACAUACAUAUUAACACAGCAGGGAUGGCAACUUGAAAAGGCUGGAAAGCAUGACUUGUGCCGCUGUCAGCAAGGGGUUAAGAAUUCUUAAAUUCUUUCCCUGGGCAUCUGGAUUCUGAGACCUGAAUGAGUUAUGCAGAGGAUCAGUUGUGCAAACUUGCUCUUAUUUGACAUACUACUGCAUUUGUGGUGGUUUUACUCAUCGGGCAGAGGUGUGAUGUAUUCGCCAUAAGCCUGGUUCCCCACCUCCACAAGCCCUACAAAAAUAAUCACGCCGCACGAGAAAACCAAAGAUCCCUUCGGUCCAGCACCGUUCUCACAACGACCCACCAGAUGCCUCCAGGAAGUGAUGUUAGGACUGCAACAGCCCGCCCAACUCCGAGCUGUUCCCCCCACACUCCAACUGACCUGUCGUCACUGGAUCCACUGACCCCCCUGCUCUGGCUUCUGAAAUCCGGGUGGGAAUUGUCCGCAAACAUUCAAGCAUCUCUUCAUAAGCAUAAGGUCUAGAGUGGGUGGGCGACAUGCAACCCACAGGCGCAUGGGACCUCACUAUCACCAAAAUUCAUUUCAAAAGCACAAACCAUCCUUCGUGACUACGAAACACCCACAGGGCCACAGUCUUACAUUCCCUAGUCACUGCAGAUCCCACUUUUAACCACCA